rnacentral:ncRNA from 2 species
GCCUCGUACUGCGGGAGCCGCGGCAGCUGUCAUAAAGCGCCGGGCUGAGAGGGCGUCAGAGCCGACCGCUUGACCUGAUCCGGCUAAUACCGGCGUAGGGAAGGAGACACAUGAGCGA